rnacentral:rRNA from 1 species
CCUACGGGAGGCAGCAGUGGGGAAUCUUGCGCAAUGGGCGAAAGCCUGACGCAGCAACGCCGCGUGCGGGAAGAAGGCUUUCGGGCUGUAAACCGCUUUCAGCAGGAACGAAAAUGACGGUACCUGCAGAAGAAGGAGCGGCCAACUAUGUGCCAGCAGCCGCGGUGAUACAUAGGCUUCAAGCGUUGUCCGGAUUUAUUGGGCGUAAAGAGUUCGUAGGCGGUCGAGUAAGUCGGGUGUGAAAAUUCUGGGCUCAACCCAGAGACGCCACCCGAUACUGCUUGACUUGAGUUCGAUAGGGGAGUGGGGAAUUCCUAGUGUAGCGGUGAAAUGCGCAGAUAUUAGGAGGAACACCGGUGGCGAAGGCGCCACUCUGGAUCGAUACUGACGCUGAGGAACGAAAGCAUGGGUAGCAAACAGGAUUAGAUACCCUGGUAGUCCAUGCCGUAAACGGUAGGCACUAGGUGUGGGAUUCUAUUAACGAAUUCCGCGCCGUCGCUAACGCAUUAAGUGCCCCGCCUGGGGGAGGUACGGUCGCGAGACUAAACUACAAUAGAAGUAGACGGCGUGAGACGUGCCGAACGGACGACGACGAGGGAGGUAGG